CUGAAGUCGGUCCCAAGGGUAUGGCUGUUCGCCAUUUAAAGUGGUACGCGAGCUGGGUUUAGAACGUCGUGAGACAGUUCGGUCCCUAUCUGCCGUGGGCGUUUGAGAAUUGAGAGGGGUUGCUCCUAGUACGAGAGGACCGGAGUGAACGAACCGCUGGUGUUCGGGUUGUCAUGCCAAUGGCAUUGCCCGGUAGCUACGUUCGGAACUGAUAAGCGCUGAAAGCAUCUAAGCGCGAAGCAGGCCUCGAGAUGAGUUCUCACUAGACUUUUAAAGUCUCUGAAGGGCCGUUGAAGACUACAACGUUGAUAGGCAAGAUGUGGAAGUGGUGUGAGCCAUUAAGCUAACUUGUACUAAUUACCCGUGAGGCUUAACCAUACAACGCCAAACGCGUUU
rnacentral:rRNA from 1 species